CCUGUGCCCCGUGAGAAGAAGGCCGAAUGCCCAGGAGCCCCCAGGAGGCAGCAGGCCUGAUGGGACCACGGCAGAGCCAGUGCCAGCUGCGUACCCAGCACCAAGUUCCUGCCUGUUUGCCCGCCUGACUCCAGGGACAGUGCAGAGCCGGAGCAGGGGUUGGCUAGAGACUCUUAGGCCAAGGAACCCCUCCUGCAAAGUUGCUUUCAGUCCUGGGGCUCAGCCAGGAGCCUGGGCUGGGGUCCCAC
rnacentral:lncRNA from 1 species